UCGGUGUCUCCUGCUGCAGAUGUCUCGCAGUGACUGGAAUACAGAUGAUCACAGGACUGUGCUCGGACUAGAAAUGGUGCAGUCUCCGGCUGGAGCUCUGCAAAGGCGUACCUCAAGGAUGUGCAGAAUGCUUUGGAAUUGCAGACUGACGCAGCUGAGUGAGAUCAAGCUAUUCCUGCAAAGACAGGAUCCACAAACCGAAAAGAAACAAACCAAAUAAAAGCCAGCCUUGGAGGAAAAAAUGGGGGAAACUUUCCAGGGAGCAGAGAAAGUGUGAAGAGUUGAUCUCACAGUCUGUGAACACUGCUGAUGUCCCGAAAACCUUCAACUAAAAAUGUCUUCAAAGAGCGUCAAAGCACAUUACUUACAGAACAUUAUGUACAGUUGAAACUGGGUGAGGAUCAGUAAACUAAUAGCUUAACCAGUCCUGCAAUGUUUUUUUCCCCCUAAAGCUGUUGCAACACAGAACACAAAUUGGUUUCUAAGUCUUCAUGCUUUGGGACAAAGCACUAACACAACACAAUAGAAUAUUUAAAAUACACCAUGAGAAUCUAGCUGAGAUGCCCCUUGGGAAACCGUGAGAUUCUUUGGAAACCUGAUCAGGAACACCAUUCAAAUCCCGCAGGAAUAUUCAAAGGGAACCUGUGAAGGACAAGGAGAUUUGCCUUAUGAAAUAUGUGAAUACCAUAAAGGAAAAAAAAGCACUCCAGGAAUAACUUUGCAAAUUCCCCCCAUGAGAAUUUCUAAAAGGCUUAUAUUUAUGUUCCAUUUAUCUUUUCAGUUUAUCUUUAUCCUGAUUAUUUUGUGUUCUUUUUGCUGUCACAAGUUCAGUUUUCUUUUGCUGAAAUAUCAUGUAAUUGACUGUUCCAUGAUUUAGAGCAUCUAUGUCACUGAGUACGGUCUUUGAUAUGUGGGGGGGGGCACAGUCAGAAUGUGUGAGUAAUUUCCAAAAGCUGCGUUGCAACAUAUCCCACCAAGAUCCUAAGCCAAGCAAUAAGCAAACUCACGACAACCAGGGCUACUUUACAUUAUAAAUAUCUGAAUUCAUGCAUUGUGUUGUGUGUCACCCUGGCUCAGUUGGUAGCACUCUCACCAUUGAGUCAGAAGAUUGUGGGUUCAAGCCCCACAUCGGAACUCAUAUAUUCUCAACACUCAAUACCCCAGUGCAGUUCUGAAGGGGACAUCCUUUGGAUGAGAUGUCCUACCGAGUUUCCGUCUGCCUGUUCAGGUAAACCUUAAAAAUCCCAUGGUAUACCUCUAAAGAUUUAUCCGAUGUCAUGGUCAACAAUCCCCCAAAUAAAAAUGGUCAUU